UAUUGUUGCAGACAGACAGCAGGACACCAGCACACACACUCAGCAGCUGCCCUCGUGGGUAUUUGUUAUAAGGCUGUUGAGCUCCAAGGGCUCCUUUUGGGAGGACCAUGCUGUUCUGGUAUGUCAUCAUUCCAACUUUCUCAUGGUUCGUCUUGGAGUCUGCGUGUGGGAUUCUUACGGUUCUCUGAUGGACCCAGUCACGCCAGCCAGCAUGGCACAGAAGCAAUGUGCAGUUCAACGGAGAAGAGCCACGGCGCUAUGUGGCUUGUCUCCGGAACGUCCUCAUCUGGGGAACGCCACCUCAGCACCCCCUCAGCGCCCCAAAGCUUCUGUCUGUGGUUGUUUCCUGUGCGAGUACAACUCGGAGCAUUCAAGCUGUUGUACCAGACUCAUCUUGCCCAGUGUCAGAAUCUCUUGUUCAAGACAGGCUGGGUGUGAAGCAUGCCUAUAGUCCUGGCACAUCAGGAGCUCAAGGCCGGUCCAGCUACUUGAGACCCGUGUGAGAGCUUAGAAGGUAAAGGUGCUUGCUGCUGUGCUUGACAGCGUGACGGAAAACAAGAAUGGACCCCUACAUGUUGUUCUUGGAUCUCCAUACAUGUUCCCAUGGACCCCCAAUAAAUAAAAUGUAAUUAAAAAAAAAA
rnacentral:lncRNA from 1 species